UGUGUGUGUGCGCGUGCAUGUGCGAGCGUGUGCCGUACAUGAUUGUAUCCUUUGUAUAAUGCUACCAGGCUGUACUUAGUAUCCUCUUCCUCCCUCUUAGGGUAUGGAUAACUCAACCUCCUCCAUCCAUUUGGCUCUUGCCUUAAAGGGUAAGCACUGAAGUGUGGGGAAGUUGUCCUUGACUAGAAUGCUACUUUAUUUUCAGGAAGAAAGAGAAGGUGGUUAUUUACAUGUCUAUGUAGGAAGAAAGGUCUAGGAAGAUGUCAUUUUGCACAUGCACAUGUGCAUGGUGUUCUGAAGAGUUAGAAAGUGCUAUAGAUGUUUUAGUGUAAAGAUACUUUAGAGGUAUGAAUGAAAGGGGAAAGUCCUUUCUCCAGGAAAAUAGAGCUUGGUCCUAUAGAUUCUCAGGUGGUACGAGUCACAACCUCAUGGAGUUGAAAGAGAUUCCCCCCUGCUAUAUUAUGGAAAGUAUCUGUAUGGAAAAUAUCUAUGGAAAGUAUCAGCCAGAGACUAAACUAGUUCUAGUCGAUUGUAAGUACCUUGAGGCCAAGAAUUGUCUUUUGUCCCUUUUUGUAUCUUCAGUGCUUAGUAUGGUUACCUGGAACAUAGUAAGCACUUAAGAUUUAUUGAUUGGUUGAUGAUCUCUAGGACUGUGGUGGUAAACCCUCUAAAAGGUUCACCAGCACUGUUCUAGGGUAUUUUCAAAUUGAAUGUAGGAUUCUGUUGUAGUAGGGAAUUCUCUUGAAACUUAAAUCUUCUGUCUGGACUAAAAAAGAAGAAAAAAAAAGCCUGGGAGUCAGCUAGGUUGCACAGUGGAUUGAGAGUCAAGCCUGGAGAUAGGAGAUUCUGAGUUCCUCAAACACUUCCUAACUAUAGGACCAGGCAAAUCACCUAACCCCAACUGCCUACCUCUUACUACUUUUCUGCUUUGGAAUCAAAACUUAGUAUCAUUCUAGGACAGAUGGUAAGGUUUUGUUUUUGUUUUUGUUUUUUUUAAAGGGCAAAGUUAACAGUAGCCUUUUGAUUUAAAGAGAAUGAAGAGGACCCUGAGGAAACCUAUCUACAUGGUUCCUGAAAUUGAGAAUAUUUUUUGUGUAGGUAGGUAGUUCAUUUUAAAUAGGAAAAGUUCAUUUUAAGGAGGAAAAUCUAGACACUAGCAGCAUUCUCAGACACUUUUUAGCUUGAAAUCCAUAAUUAGGAUCACCUACAAGUUAGACAAUGAAGUCUGGACCAGUGUCUACAGUUAAAAUGCAAAUAUUUACCUGAGAGCCCCAUAGGUCCUCUUUCAUUUGCAUCAAUUAGCUGGUCAGAUUAGGUAGUUGAUUACCUUGGGUCCUGAGGGAAUGAGAUACUCAGGCUCUUUCUGUGGGGAGAGAAUCUGAUAGUUCCAAACUCUAAGUUAGGUCUGGUGCCUAAGGAAGGCUAUAAUUACUGAGGAUAGAACAUAGGAGGGAUUGGAGGGGAGGAAUUUGCCAAAGGGAAAUUUUACUUCAGAAGUUGCUUAGUGUGGUCCUUGCUUGGAGCCUUAGAGUUCAAAUAAGGAAGAGUUAAAAGGGAGAACAGGGCUAAGGACUAAGGCCUGCACUGCCCACAGAGCAAGUGUUUAAAGCAAACUCAAGCUUCCUUGAUCUAACUCCAGAAAGAUUCCUGAUGGACUUCCAGUUGAAGUUUGACCCUAAACCAACAUCUCUUUUUCCUAUCUGUUCCUUAAUGAAGGAGGAAUGGGUUCCAAUUUUUAUUCUGGGUUUCUUCCUUGGACUUUAGCUUUGCUUAUCUCUUCUAUUAAUGACCUUGGAGGACUCUGACCUGGGUUCAAGUCGUCUUGGUCCUUUGACUUUAGUCCUUCUGUCGUUAUUCAGUCAUUUUUAGUCAUGUCUAAUAUUUCAUGACCCCAUAUGGGGUUUUCUUGGCAAAGAUAUUAGUUUGGUUUGGCAUUUCCUUCUCUGGCUUAUUUGACAGAUGAGGAAACUGAGGUAAAUAGAGUUAAAUGACUUGCCCUGGGUCACAUAGCUAGUAAAUAUAUUUGAAGUCAAAAUUGAAUUCAGGAAGAUGAAUCCUUCUGACUCCACAUCUGGGACUCUAUCCAGUGUACUGCCUAGUAGCCCCAACCUCAGUUCUUAAGUACCUGCUAUUGACUGCUAUUGAUUUCAGGAUGAGGAAUAGGACACCAUUUCUGCAAAGGCACAUUAAAGGAAAGGCUCUAGACAGAAAGCAAGACAGCAUUGCACAACUCCCAGUGAGGUUCUCCUCACUCUAUACCAUACCUCAGAUCAGGGAGAGUAGUGGUCAUUCUAUCAUAGGUACCCUCUUGUUCCUCUCUUGAGGUCUUUUACUGCAGGCUGUAAAAUUCAUUUCUCUGGCUAGGACUAAUGUCCUGUAGUAGAGGCUAGUGUCAAGGGACUGGUCCUAUAGGAAUUGUUUCUACUAUUCUUUGGAGCACUAAAUCCAUAAAUCUUCAAUUCUGCCUUUUAAAUAAAAGGCAAUCAAGGCUUCCUGUCCCCCA
ensembl:lncRNA